AUCACAAUGGCCUCCAGGAUUGUGAGUGGCCUCUGGGAGCUGAGGGAAGCUUCCAGUUGAUGUCCAACAAGAAGCUGGGAUCCUUAGUCCUACAGGCAAAGGACACAAAUUCUGUCAACAACCUGAGUGUAUUCCUGGUCCUGCUCAGUGCUCUGGCAGGGUGAACCUCUACUGAUUGCAUCAAUUUGCUCCCUUUUCUCUGGCUUCUCAAUGGGUUCAGCCAAUGGGAGGCACCAGCAGGAAAUCAAAGAAUGGAAGGCAAGAGAAGGCUGCAUUCAAGAGCAUGUAAGCAUCUAAUGUGCAUGCACUGAACUUCUUCAAGGGACAAGAACCUGGCUCCUGAGGCCUGUGGGCUUCCACUUGACACCAGGAAUUCUAAAGUGCCCACACUCAAAAGAAGUCAUUCUCUUCCCCGGUGUCCUGAUUGAAAAAGAGUCACAUUGGAAAAUGUGCUGUAUCCAUUAACCUUUUUGCAAAGAGCAGAAGGUAAAGCCAGCCUCUGUGUUAUGAGGACACUCCAGCAGUCCUAUGGAGAGGAUCAUGAGGAGGGAAACCAAGAUCUCCAGAGGAACAGACACCCCCUGACAACAUCCAGGGGAGUAAGCUGGGAAGCAGAUUACCUGGUCUUGGUCAAGACUUCGUAUGACUGCAAUCCUGGCCAGCACCUUCACUGCAACUUCAUGAAAGAUCCUAGACCAGAACCAUCCAGUUAAGCUGUCCUGUUUUUCCAACCCAUGGAAAUAAUGAGAAAAUAAAUGUUUGUUGUUUUAGGUCAUUCUAUUUUGGAAUGAUUUAUCAUAUAAUAAUCAAUAACUAAUACAGUACCAGGGGCAGGUUUUAAUUUGGAAUGAGUGUAUAGGAAAAUAUAAAGAAUAUGGUCAGAAAAAUUUAUCUUUUAUCCUUUAUUUUUUUUAUAUAUAGAAAUUAAUAGGCAUUAUGUAGAGAAAAUAGGAACACUUUUCAUGGGGUAUUUGGGUUGCAAAGUCAGAAAAUAUAACUCACACUUAUGUCAUCAUCGUUAUAAUUCUUACCAAAUACUAUUAAAAAUAAACUAUUUCAAAUAGUACUCUUGUAUUCAAUGACUUUUAUAAAGCCAUUGAAUAACAUAUCCCAGCUCUUAGGAACUCACAGAAUAUAGCAAUCUCUACUCCAUAAGUAUUCUCUGUGUAAUGUUUUACUUCUUUCUUUCGUUUAUUUUUAUAAUAGAAAAUCUAUAUUCCAAAUUACUUAUCCAUUGUGUAUUAUAUUUUCACCAAUGAGAUAUAUGUUUUGAUAGUGCUUAUAAAGUUGUAUAGAAUAGCUGUUCAAUCAAUACUACAAUUGGUUUGCAAAGCAUGUAGGCAAAGCUCAAAUGCCACACUUUUUCUCUUUUUUAAAAUUGAUUUUAUAUUAGAUAUUUUAUUUUAUUCUAUAUUGUGUCAGGUAAUGACAAAACAAUUUCUUAGAAUAUGGAAAAAUUUUUAGAAUUUGCACAAUAACUUUGUAAAAAGUGAGUAAAGCCGACAAAUAAGAUGUACUCUUUAGGAAACAGGCUGUUUAAUGUGCUUAUUUAUAAAAAUAGCUAUCAACUGUGUUUCUAUAUUCCAAGUACUUUUGCCCGGAUAAUAAAACAAAAUAACUAAGCUUUUUGUAGAGAGGAUGCAAAUGAAAUAAUUUUUAUAUUCUUUUCCAAUACUCGUUAAAUAGAGCAGUGAUUUUAUUCAUUCUUAUUUUAGACAAUUGCAUUUAUUCACCUCCUCUUACAGAAAUCUGAGUCUAACCAAUACUAUUCAAAAGAGAAAACUAAUCAGCCUUAUGGAGAGAGACAGCUUGUCAUUCUCCACUUUCCGUAUCUACAUUAAUUUGGUUUUAAUUUGGUGUGGUUCUUCCAUUUAUCCAGGAACUGAGGCUUGCGAUUUUUUCUUAACUUGUGAGGGAAUCCUAAAUAUGUUUGCAUGGCAAAUAGAAAAGUUGUAAGCUGUAUACAGCAAGAAAACGCUCAACAAUGGUAAAACUCCAUCCUGUGUGCUGUAGGGUGACUAUCUACAUGUUUGUUUUAUUGAUUUUAAUUUGCAUAUCCUCUGUCUGUCCUUAAAUUAGAUGCAGGAUCUUAAUAAUUUCACUUGAAACUCAAAGCCCAGAUUUUGCUGUGUGAGGAAGUUUCUGAAUAAGACAUCAAGUUUCUAGCCAUCAGAGGAUAAUUUAUUGAUACUUGUCAAAAGGAAGUAUCAGUCUAACAGAAAUCAAGACAAAAGGAAUGCCUGAUGAAUUUUCUUUGAAGUGCCUUUUAUAAAAGUCCUUGGUAAUACAUAUUGAUGAACUCCAAAUUGUCUUGCCUGAAGGGAAAAGAAAGUAGACUGCUUUACACUGUCUUAUAAAUAUUCAUCAAAGGAACAAGACUUAUGUUUCCAGGCGUGAGGUGAAUGAUUACGGUUGUAUGAUUGCCUUGGAAUCUGGAUAAUUAGUAAAACAGCCGUUGACAGUUAGAGAAUUUUAAACUUGGUAUCUUGCUGUCACUUCAUUUGGAGUCAGAGAUAAAGCUUCCUAUGCCAAAGGGAAGCAAUU